CUGAGUACGGCGGAACACGUGAAAUUCCGUCGGAAUCCGGGAGGACCAUCUCCCAAGGCUAAAUACUCCCUAGUGACCGAUAGUGAACCAGUACCGUGAGGGAAAGGUGAAAAGCACCCCGGAAGGGGAGUGAAACAGUUCCUGAAACCGUGUGCCUACAAGUAGUUAGAGCCCGUUAAUGGGUGAUAGCGUGCCUUUUGUAGAAUGAACCGGCGAGUUACGAUUUGUUGCAAGGUUAAGCGGAAAAAGCGGAGCCGUAGCGAAAGCGAGUCUGAAUAGGGCGCAUAAGUAACAGGUCGUAGACCCGAAACCAGGUGAUCUACCCAUGUCCAGGAUGAAGGUAAGGUAAUACUUACUGGAGGUCCGAACCCACGCACGUUGAAAAGUGCGGGGAUGAGGUGUGGGUAGCGGAGAAAUUCCAAUCGAACUUGGAGAUAGCUGGUUCUCUCCGAAAUAGCUUUAGGGCUAGCCUCGAGGUAAAGAGUCAUGGAGGUAGAGCACUGUUUGGACUAGGGGCCCUUCUCGGGUUACCGAAUUCAGAUAAACUCCGAAUGCCAUGUACUUAUACUCGGGAGUCAGACUGCGAGUGAUAAGAUCCGUAGUCGA
rnacentral:rRNA from 1 species